AUGAUCCGUCCGACGAUGGCGUGGGAGAAGGCGGUGCAGAGAUUCGCCAAGGGCGAGAAGGAAUUCACCGAGGGGGCAGAGAUCCUGCGGCAGUUCGCCGCCGUCACGGAGGCGGACCUUGCGGUGGGGAAGCUGGUGCCCACGAGGGAAUUCGCCGCCGCGACCGCGCUCGCCGAGGAGACCGCCCUCCGCCUGCUCGACAGAGCGGAGGAGGAGGCGAAGAACGCCGAGCACACGGCCGCGGCGUUCGUGGGUAGGCCGGGGGCCGAGAAACUGGUGGAGCCGCUCCAAAGGCACGCCGCGUCCGUCGCCAGGCUGAGGACGCAGGCCGCGGAAUUCGCCGCUUUCACGUGCCGGGUAGCCUCGCUGCCGGUCGUGGAGGAGCCCGAGAGCUCCGAGUUGAGACCGCGUGGAGGCUUGACGGCGGGAGUGGAAGGAUCCGGACGCAGGGAAGCAAGAACAAGGAGGCCCAACGCCAGAUACUUCGGGCCCGAGUGGAGCUCCUGA
rnacentral:rRNA from 1 species